rnacentral:lncRNA from 1 species
GGCCUGGUAGUUAAAGAUCGACCCCUGACCUAAUCAGUUAUUUGCAUAAGAAAAGCACUGUGAAGAUCCCUGUCCUGUUCUGUUCCGUUCUAAUUACCGGUGCAUGCAGCCCCCAGUCACAUACCUCCUGCUUGCUCAAUCGAUCAAGACCCUCUCAUGUGGACCCCCUUAGAGUUGUGAGCCCUUAAAAGGGACAGGAAUUGCUCACUCAGGGAGCUCAGUUGUUGGAGACGUGAGUCUUGCUGAAGCUCCCGGCUGAAUAAAGACCUUCCUUCUUUAACUUGGUGUCUGAGGGGUUUUGUCUGUGGCUUGUCCUGCUACAUUUCUUGGUUUCCUGACUGGGAAGUGAAGCAAUUAAUGGACGGUUGAGGCAGCCCCUUAGGCGGCUUAGGCCUUCCCUGUGGAGCAUCCCUGCAGGGGACUCCAGCCAGCUUGAGCGACACGGAUCCUGAGAGCGCUCCCUGGUAGGCAAUUGCCCUGGUGGAAUGCCUUGCCGGAGUAGUGCAUGGCAGGCCCCCGUGGAGGAUCAAUGCAGUGGCUGAACACUGGGAAGGAACCGGCACUUGGAGACCAGACAUCUGAAACUUGGGAGGCUCUGGCUGGAGACCUGCAAAAGUUUCAUGCUAAAGACCCAGGAUGCAUCUAGCUCCUGUACGUGGACGACCUUCUGCUGGAACACUCCACGGCAGUCGGGUGCGCAAAAGGGAUGGAUGCCCUGCUUCGGGACCUGGUGGACAAGAAGAAAGCUCAGAUCUGCAGACAGCAGGUGAUCACAUGUGGAUCAAGGACUAGAACAUAGCCCCUUUGCAGCCACGGUGGAAAGGACCUCAGAUUGUCAUCCUGACCACCCUCAAGGCUGUAAAGGUAGAAGGAAUCCCAGCCUGGAUCCACCACACCUGUGUGAAACCUGCAGCCGCUGAAACCUGGGAGGCAAAACCAAGCCCGGACAACCCCUGCAAAGUGACUCUGAGGAGGACGACAAGCCCUGCUCCAGUCACACCCAGAAGCUGACUGAUCUACGCACGGCCAAAGCAUGAGAAGGAUCAUCGUGGGACUCAUUUUCCUUAUAAUUUGGACUUGUGUAGUAAAAACUUCCACUGAUUUUCCCCGCAUGGAGGACUGCUCUCAGUGUAUACAUCAGGUUACCAAGUUUUACAGGCUCCCAAUCUGAAGCAAUAUGGGAAAACACAAGCUGCUCUCAUGGAGGUAUUUUAUCCCGUGAGUAAAAUAUAUCACAAAGAAAGAAGUGAGUGGGCUACAGUCAAAAAGAACAUCACAUUAAAAAAAAAAAAAAAAAGACAACCCUGGAAUGAAGAUUGUAAUCGCUUUAACAGCAGUAAUUAGGCUUAUUGUGAUAUCCCUAGCACCUAACUUAGUGUCUGAGUAGACACUUGAUAUCAGAGUAGGUGCUCAGAGAGCUUGUUUGCUAAAUGAGCAAAUGAAUGAUGUCUCACUGCAUUGUGGCCAAGGAGACUGCUUUAGAAAUAAUCAUAAAUACAUAUAAUAAAAGGAAUUUACUGUGCUAGACUCAGUACAUCGAGGACCUGUUGAAGGGGCUAGCACCUGGGAUGAUUACCAUCACGCCCUGAGAUGACUAUCUCGAUUAUUUUGACUUCAUUCUGCUGCUGAGAGAUUGAUUUUAAAGAAAUAAAACUAACAGACUGAGUUUCCUCCUCUGUUCCCUGUGAGGAUUAACUUGGGUGGCGGCAGGACACUUGCUAGUCUAUGUCAGUGUUACGCUCCGAGUAGCCUCUCACAACCCUGAAAAUAAAUAUUUUAAAACAAAAAAAAAAACCUAGACAAUAAAUUGGGACGUUUCCAGCAUCUUUCUUCUGUAAAAAUACUACAAUCUCUAGAUGUUAACGCAACAAAAGAAAUCCGUAACUUUAAGGCCUCUCAUAACUGCCCUCUUUUCCCCUCCCUCCUCUCCUCUCUAAAACAGGUUAUGUCUGCAGGCUUCUUCAAACUCCACCACACCAUUUUCUCAGGAAAAAUCCCUGCACUGUAGGUGGGUCAACAAAAUCAAGCUAGAGGUUCUCUUUACACAUAUUGAUGGCUUAUUUCUAUCAGUAAAAGGAUAUUUCCUUCCCUCCUUCCUUUCUUCCACAAACAUCUGGGCACUGUGCUAAAUACAAGGGGUGCAACUGUGAACAAGUGAGACAGAGUUCUCAUUCUAGGUUUGGUGAGAGAUUUAGAUAAGUAAAUGGGAAAUUACAGUGUUAGAUGCAAUGCAAUGAUCAAAAAAAUGUAAGGUUGGAGGGUCUGGAGGCUUCUGAGUAAAUGAUAUUUAAGCUGAGACACGAAGGGUAACUGUGUGCCAGGUGAAGAGUUGGGAUGGGGGAAAAUAAUGGGUAAAGUCAAAGGAACAAUGCCUGGCACCUAUCUGCUGGUAUCGCCUCUUAGGAUUCCAAACUAUUCUCCCUUAACUUCCCCAUUGAGCCUCACAGAUUUCAAAGGCUAUAAUUCUCAGCAGGGUUGAUUUUUUUUUCCCCCUUACCUGUAAGGAGUCCUGGGGCUUCAUGCACUCACACUUCAAAAGAUGCUUUUUCUGAUGCUUAGGGUAAACGGAAACACUGCAAAUUGCUGUUUGAAGACACUUGCUUCAUUUAAUUUCAGUGCUUGGGAUUAAAAUAAAAAUUUUAAAUGUCACAUUUCACUCCCCUUCCAAAACACACCACAGGUUAGCCUAUUCUUUAACCAUUCAUUGUUGGAUUCCGGCAUGUCUAGCAUGGUGCAAUGAAUUAUUAAAGGGAUCUACAUAAUACAACUUCGUAUCACAUCUUCAAGGCUAUGUGAAAGAAAUUUACAUUUUUUUCUCUUUUGGGAGAAGCAUAUGAAACCUGCUCACUCAGAAGACAAUCACUUAUUUUUAAAU